AAUUUAUGCACGAGGAAGUCCAUGCAGUGCAUUAGAAAAUAAUUUUGACUUUAACAAUGUUCUAUGUACUAGGAUUAUCUUAGAGUGGUCAUAAGAUUUGGUACUAGGCUCAUUGUAUUGGGAUUAAUUGGGUCCAUCCAUCACGUUAAUUUGGGUGGUGAGUUCAAUGUAUGGGAUGGAGGAUAAAGCCUGUAAAUCUCUGUACGCC
rnacentral:lncRNA from 1 species